UCAUAGCUCUUUGUUUCUAUGCACACUAUUUUCAGAUUCGUAGUGCCUUCCAAUAAUAAGCCCAUUGGAGGUAUAGUUUUGUUAUAUAAUGUUAAGGAACUUGGUAGAGAUGUCUCAAUUCCUAGUGUAAUUUUGUACAGUUUUAUGAAUUAAGAUGACGUUAGCAGGUGGCAUAAUAGGUGAUAUAUAUAAUUGAAGCUAUGGGUAGCUAUUAUCCUUUCUAGAAGGAAAGCUUGUACAUGACUUGAAUGAGAAAUUAAAACUGAAAAAAGGGGAAUGUUUUAUAUAAUACUGUAUCUGAUACUUUUCGAGCCCAUAGUGAUGGUGUGCAAAAUCACAGGUAUGGAUUACAAUGCAGAAAUGCUGUGAAAUAAAACCAUACUGUGAGGUACCUGUGAGCCACGGUACCAGGCAUGCCCAUUUUGCUCUGCUUGUGUUACACAGCAAAGACAUGUACCUUUGGUCUGGUACUUGCUCAAAUGCUAAAUGUUAUAAUCAUGUAAAUAACCUCAUGAGUGGAAAAAAAAGAAGGUGGGGAUCUGGGACAGUCAUUAUCCUUUUGAAAGCCGUGAUAACACUUAGCAUGUCUGAAAGUAAUGUAAGCACUGAGUGUAAGUGCUAUGCUGGAUAAUAGCCAGAGCACUCCACACACAGCAGACUACAGCGUCUGUUUUCUUGCAGCAGCAACUACUGACACUGUAGACAAACCAUCUACAUUUAUCUUGCUGCCAGUUUCAGACCCUUUCCUGCUGGCACUGUUGCUUCCACUCAUUCUGAAUUGCACUUUAAGGCAAAACAAAAGUCCCUGUCAAUGAGAGAAACAAAAAGUAAGUCCAUAAUAAAUAGUACCAUGUGGGCACAAGGACUCAAGCAGAAAGGGAGAAGGAAGAGCAAAUUCUGAAUUUUGUAGUGGCAGAACAUAAAAGUAUUCCUAGAGAGCAGCUGCAGUGCUGGGAUCCCCAAUCAGAUAAUUUCCUUGAGGCUUAAGGGAGCCAAGAGCUUUAGCCACCGUUGACAAAUGGCCACUUUUACAGUCUGUUUUGGCUUUCAGGAUUUUCUGUCGUAUAAAAGGGAAGCUACCAUUCAAAUGUAAGUGAUGGGCUUAGGGCAGAAAUUAAAGUAGAGCCUUCUGUGCUUGUGUUAUGUGGGAAGACAGAUGAAACAGCCAGAGAGGUCCCUUCUGGCUUGAAGAGAUCUGGGAGCUGUGCAUAAAAGAUUAUGGCUUCCCACACAAGCUAGGUCAAGUGUGCAGGAUAGAUCUUGAGGGAGUUUUGAAAGCAGAGCGUUAGGGCCUGGCAGGUCAGAAAGGGUAUCCCUCAGAGAAUAAAUUAGUGUCAAGCUCCUAAAAUAAAUCAUAUUUGGAAAUACACAAGUGACCCAUUUGCUUUAGUUACGUUUGUCCCAAACUUGUAUGUGAUUUCCCAUAAAGUUUGAAUACAUGCGUGGCUAUAGAGGGUAAAUUCUAAACUUUCAUGAGCAACUGAUAAUGUAUUUUAAACUCAUCUGUGCCAAAACUAUAUAACAUGUGGGGCACAGCGGCUCCAAAACACUUGUUCUCUAUGCCAGAGUUUAGACAACCAAAUAAAUCAGACAAGCAUCUGGCCUCAUUGUUGCAGUCAGAACUAGACAUGAGGAAUUACUUUGUAUGAAUGUGAUGAGACAAAAUUAAAUUUAAACUUCUAACAUAGUCAAUAAAUUUUACAAUAGUCUAAUUUUUCAAGGAACCUUGCCUCAAGCAAGAGCCACAAUGGGAAAGAUAUAUAUAUAGUUCUUAACUUCUAAUGCUGAAUAUCUGUUUUCUCCAUUUAAUAGAUUCAGUGCUUCAUCAGUUCUAUAAUUGCACUUACCCAGUUAAGAACUAGAAGUACGAAGGCUGCUCUGAAAGUAAUGCCUCCUAUUUUGCAAUAUUGGCCCAUGACAUCAGAGGUGGAUGGUGGGGGUAUGGCAAUGGAGACAGAACCAUCUCAACAAUAUUCCAUUACACUAAUAAGUCAUAUAAACAUCAGCUUUUCAUCCAUCCUGCAAAUAGCACAAGAAAGUGUCUCCAUCAGUGACUGAGAUGUGAUGUGAAAGCUCCACCUAUUUUAAAUCCAUACAGUUCUCUCUUCACACGUAUUUGUUAUUCAUGACCUUUCAAAUAUUACUGUAUUCAGAUGGUAGUCUUGACGCAUUCAACCUAUGGACCAUCUACCUGUGGAGGAAGAUAUACGAGUCUGCCUUGUCAUCAGAAACUUCUCUGAGAGGAAGGCCAACACAAUGCUUUCCAUGGAGAUGUUUACAAGGUUUGUAAAGGGCUGAAAGGCAUUUGGGACCACAGAGCUUGUGAAUAACUGGAAGGCUGCCCAGGAGAUCAAGGAUGUAUAUUGACUUAAAGAGAGAAAACAGGUUGGCAUGGAUGGAAGCUGAAACUUAUUCUCAGGAGAGGCAAGAAGGAUUGCCAGUUACACAAUUUCAAUUCUGUAUUUUCACUUUUCUUGUAAUGUUUCAACCUACAGUAUCAGUUUCUUUAGUGAAAGAGUCAAAGCUACACAACUGUGCUGCAUCAAACAGGGCACUGAGUUGGUCAGCUGAACAUCCAGAGACUGCAGUGCCAGAAAGCAAGCUAAAGUAUGGAUAAACACUUCACUGUUUUUUGCUAGUGCUUCAGCCCAUUUCCCGGUCUUGUUUACUUUACAGAUAUGUAUGUAGCCACCUGUCUGCCAAAGCUGUAACUUUUCCAUGAAGUCAUAUUUAUUAGUAGAAUAAUGAAUGAGACAGAUAAUCAAUUCUGCAUUUCAAAUAUGGCCUCAUUAGUGCCCUUGUUUAGUGUCAGGGAGAAAAUAUCUAGCAGGUUGCUUGGCAUUUCUCUUCUCACUUUUGGGAAUUACAUUCCCCUUGCUUUAUAUUCUUCACCUAUUGUGUUGAAUUUGAUUCUAGCCAGUAAACCUAUAAUCCUUAGCUUGCAUCAUGCUGUAUGUUUAUGAAUUUUGACUGGUUGUUUCUUUCCCUGUCCCUCGGAUUUGCUAACCUGUUACUCCAAGUUGUGUAAACUGCUUAGUCAACCUAAGCUUGUUCUGAAGAGCAGCUGAGGACACUGCUGUGGUCCCCAUGCCAUGCACAGCAUGAACAUUGCAGCUGGGCAGAAGUAUUUAUUCAUAUGAGUGUUUCUCAUCUUAAUGUAACUUACUAUCUGUUUGCAAAUGCACUAUGAUCUUCCCAUUCUUGGCUUCUUCUCUCAUUAUGCUUCAGAGCUUCUGUGUCAUUGAUUGUUCCUUGCAGCCUAAGAGAAUCAUUUCCUUUAAAGCAGUUCCAGCCUAAAGCACUUUACACCUGUCUCCUCAUUUUUGUCAAUCACUUGUUGUUACCCCAAACCCAUCUCCUUUGAUCUCAAUCCAGUUGUGUUUUUGUAUUUGUUUGUUUGCACCAGAACUUCAACAAAAGAACAGAUCUGGACUGCAAACGACUUCAUUUUAUGUUAAGAAGGCAUCAUUAGCAGUUAUAUUGCACGGUAUGGCUGAUGAUCUUUUGCAGCAAUAUGAAAACACCAGAGAAAAGGUUGAGCCUGAGAAGGAACAACUGUGACUAAUCAGUGAAGUAUAUAAGCAGACACUGCAUCAGGGAAAUGGCAUAUAGAAGCCUCACUCAAUAAAAGUAUCUUUUGUAUGAUAUUUUUAAAUGAUUGUACAAACUACAGAAGUCUGGUAGCAUCUUUUAUACCUACAUAAUUUUCCAAAACCAGCUGAUGGAAACUGAAACUACCAAGUUUCAGAGCAGUACUCUGAUUUUUCUGUUCUCUCUUAGGAGGACUUAUCACCACCACAUUUUUCUCUCCCUUUUUCUCCUUUGUAUCUUUACUCUUACAACUUACAGUUAUAAUUCUCUCGAUUUAGUAAUUAGUCUUUGUCACCUCAUUAAUUUUAAUUUAACAAGACUCUUCACCUUCAUCUAGGAAUCACUGCCUUUGUAUUUGGGAAUUUUUAAGUCAUGUAUUAUGGUAUCUUUCAGUCAUGCAUGAUCAGCAUCUAGGUGACUACGAGUCAUUUUUUAAAAAGUUUUGUCUUUGGUCUGCUAUUACUGCAGUAUUGUUUUUAAGUUAAUUCAUCCUUUCUUAUCUAAACUUUCUAAAUUGUGAAUGAAAUAAUGAAUAGAAAUACAAAUUCCCCAUUUUUUGAAAGCAUUGUACCUGAAAAUUCAUAAUGUAGAUAAUUUGUUAGGAUUCAUUUAUAUUUGAAAAUGCGUGCAAAUUGAGAUAAUUUGCCAUGAAUCAGUGUGUCGUCAUGUAACUCAGAACCCCAACCAAAUUGUAAUGUCUCAUCUGAGUGUUAGUCUCAGUUCAUUAAUUGCAUAGUAUUCUUCUGAUUUUACAUCAUUAGCUUUUAUUUUUUGAAGUUCAGUAAGUAAAUAUGUGAUGAUCUGAACAUUCCCUUCAUUGCUUUCUUUUAUUUCUAAAAUGAAAUAUUUGAACAAACAGAUUUCUCAGUCUUCCUUCUAAUCUGAUCCACUUCUGCAUCUAAGUACUAAAAGUGAAAAAUUAACUGUAGUAAAUUUCAACAUGAAACUACAAUAACAACUGUCUUGCUUUUCAUAUCUAACUUCCAGUAUGACAUAUUUAAUUAUGGUAAAUCCUCUAAGGAUAGUUUUUCUAAUAUCUCAAAGCACCCAUCAGGACUGGGAAAAGGGCAUUGUAUUUUACUGGGAGCAUGCGUGGUGUGCUGGGUACCAGCCAGGCAAAUAGACUUAAGUCAGUGAUGCAGUUUCAGCUAACAUCAGGAGUUUCUUUCCAGUGUUUUUGUGCACGAUGAAGUGUUCUUUCAUGUGUGGGCAGAGCCAAGAACUAUGUAGAGUAAGGAAAUAUUUGAUAUGAAACCAGCAAUAUAGUAUCCAUUGGGUUACUAAAUUGAUAAUUACAUAAUGCUGUGCUGGAUGUAGUCAUUUUCAUUUCAGAAGCAGCAUGAGAUUGACAUAAUGACCUUCUUAGCAGUAUCGUUUUUAACCACUGGUUCUCAGCUGAGUAUUACUUGCUACCUUUGAGAUUCCUUCAUUCUCUUUUCUGAUAAUAAAGGAAUUACCCUCUUUUUCCUUCCUUCCAUUGAAAUAUAAGCUGACCUAAAUAUUUAUGCCUUUUGGGUAACCAUCCUGUGGGGAAUUAGUGUUUGUCAAUUUAAUUACUUAACUUUUUUCUUUUCUUUAAAUGGCUUCUGUAGUAUUUCUAUUUAUUUUUUAAAUUGUUUAAAUAACUUGAUUCCACCAUUUUUUUCUUCAAUUUUCACAAUCAGCACAGCCAUAUCCAAUAAAAAACAUAGACAAUGAUUAAUUUUCUCAAACAUUAAGAAAAGAUCAUUCAUUUGUUGGUAUUGCCUCCCCAUCCCAUUUAAAAAUGAACAAACAAAUGCAGAACUCAAAAGAUGUGUCUGGGGGAGAAAUACCAGUUGCAUUCAUCUUACUUCCUUUGUCCCAUGGGAACAAAUGGGUAAAAGAAAAUAGACAUAAACUUCAGUUUCUGGAUGAUAGAUUUUACCUAUGAGAAGCACAUCAAGUGGUUCACUUUACUUGUAUGGGCAGAGAAAUUUGGAAAACAAGACCAUCUGCAUGCAAAUUUUUUUUCUUUUACUGUAGAUUUGUACCAGAGUAAAUUUGUUAACUUCAUUUGGCUUUAUUCCAGGUUUUGAUUAAUGUGCAAUAAGUAAUAAGCUCAAACAAGAUGUUGUUAAUACAAGGAUGACUAUGCUAACAGCAAAUACUCAGAGAGGCCGUGAAAGUGGAGAUUAAUUUAAAUGCCACUAGACAGAGAUUCAAACAGCUCAGCUCCCAGAACAACGCUUCUUCUCUUCCUCCUGAGGAGCAUGGCGUAUGAGGGCAGCAUAACCAAACCAAACUUCAACCAUACUGCAGAAGUUUAUGAGGAUCACCUUCUCCAAAAAAUUGGAUCCUUGUAAUAGAAAGCACACUGUAAUUGGAGAAAAAAAAAAAAAAUUCCUUCUCAAAUUCCCCUCCCUGGUAAAUUCUCAGUGCCCUUCUGUCAAGGUUUCAGUAAUUGACUGCAUUUGGCUUUGUGAAGAUAUUUUGAAGCAAAUAUAUUCACACUCAAGUAAUUGGGGUUUCUUUUAUUUUAAUUUAUUGUUACAAAAAGCAGCAUGAAAAAUGCAAAAGAGGAAAAUUUCCCAUGUCUCCAUGAAAUAAUAUUGCAAAUUACCCAUAAUCUGAUUUUAUAAAUAUUUGGGCCUUAUAUAUAUUGGGAUUAUUAUUAUUAUUACACACUUUACCAUGUACUCUCUGAAUCAUAGAUUUUUAUAAAACUCUAAUUUAAGAAUUGAUGACCAUGCGGAAUACAUAAUAAAGUCCAAAACAAAGAACUAAUAAUUACUUAAUGCACAAAAAGAAUCACUGAAGAUAUAGACUGUUUCUUCUCAAAGUCCAUUCUGGCUUCUACAGAUAACAGAAGAGAGAUAGAAAUUCUUACUCUUAUGUGUACUUUCUUACUUUCAACUGAUAUCAUAGCAAAAUGUUAAACCAGGCAUUAGUCUUCAUUAAAUCUGUCAGUAUAAGAGUCAAUAAAGGAGGCACAAGAACUUCAAUAAAUAAGCUUGUCUUAAAGAAUAUACCUUUUCUCAAGCUGUCUUUAUUGGGCAAUUUUUUAAGUUUUACUUUUAACCAUACUUUUCUUAUUGUUAUUGAUGACGUACCUUCAUCUUUAUCAAUGUUUAUUUUAUCCUAAAGAAAUAUAUUUGUAUUCUGCCACUGAAGUUUGGAUGAAAAAUCUUACAAUAAAAAUCAUGUGUAUUUACAAACAAUCACAUAAACUGUCCAGAAUCAAAAGGGCUUUUUGCUGAAUAUCAUGGGAACCGAACUUAGUCUCUGAAGUCAUAUUGAAGAAAAUGUGAUCUCUGCAAGAGAAACAUGCUAGGGGUAAUUUCUUUCAUUCACUACCUUCUGUCUUGCAGAGAAUACCUUAUGUACUAACAUAUGGGAGCAGGGAAAUUGAGUCUACUCUUGUUGCAGAAGCACUGUAUGAAAUGAUUUACUUAGUUGGGUGGGUAGAUAAAUCAUAAUUAGUAAGACCACCAUCAGCUGACAUGUAUGAAGAUAGGUACUGCCUUUUUCAUUGUUGUCUACAUAUUAUAAUCUUACAGUCGUUAUUUAUUGAAGUUGGCCUCUAGCACGUAGCUUUUCUUGUGCAAUUCCUAACAAUCUCCAGGGGUGAUUUCAACAGCAGCUGCUACUUUUAAUAGUGUAAGCAAGCAAGGAAGGAAGAUGCUUUUGGCUAUGAAUGCGAAUGAUUAGCUCAGGAUGUAAUUUGUAUCUCAGAAUUGUUUUGAUAGCUCAGCAUUUUCUUGGCUUUUUAUCUUUCCCCAAUGAAAUAACAGUCUUUUCAACUUCAAAUAAGUCCUGUCUAUCUUGGAGUUACACAAAUGAUAUCAUGAAGAAUUCAACAUUGCCGCUACUCAUAUAUUAAAACUAGUAAGUAAUCAACGAAAUAUUUAAGACAAAUUCAAACUCUCAAACUUCUACUUAAAUCAUCUUUUAAAUAUCCACAGAUGCACAAGUCUAAGAAAAGCGCACUAGAGCCAAAGUCAGCUUUUCAAACAUUGUUGUUUAUUGCGAUAGAUUUAGAUUGCAAAAAUUCUGUUUAAGUCCUUAGCUGAUAUAUUUCAUGGCUGCUUUUGGAAGAUUUCCUGUGUCAUGCUGUAGCAGGGUCUCCAAAUUGUUCCUUCUGUCCUACUGAAAAAAAUUAUCAUUAUCGUGCUUUGCACACGUGGGCAAUAUUUAGGCCAAUUGAUUAUUGGAUAUUAUGACACAGUACAAGCUGGUUGAAUAAGGCGAUUUUUUCCUCCUUUAUGCAGGUGAGAAUUGUGAAAUGCAAAUGAAUCGGGAGAAAAAGAAACAGUCUCAAAUGGCACAGUAGUUAUUUCUGAUUAUGAACAAAAGCAAAGCCAAAGGUGAGGACUACAACUCUGGUAGCCUAUGAUUUUUUUCUCUUUAUGUGGCCCAAUUCAUUCCAAAUUACAGUCCCUUUGAUUCUACUGGAUCUAGGGUUUAUGUUGACCUUUUCUUCGUGACUGCCAAUACCAGCUUCCUUUCAAAGAAGUGUAAAGUUAAUUGGAACAAAUCUAGUGUUUCACAGUGAAAAAUUGCCUCAAAAAUAUUGAAAUUACUUUUUUUCUUGACAGACCUUUUCUUAAUUCUCUGCUUUGGCUUCAUGGUAUAGAAAACAAGCCAGGAAGUGACUGCCAUGCAGAACUUCUAUUGGCAGUUCUCUGUGCUGACUAGUACAAAGAAUUAGGAAUAGCAUUCUUAAAUUAAAAAAUAUCUAAUAUUUACCAUAUUUUUGUUAAUAAACUAUAUUUCUUCAGUAUAGUAACAUUACAGCAGCUUCAGAAAUGUUUAUUUAUGAGGAAAAAAUGUCAUUCUCACUGUAUUUAAUGCCUACAUUUUUGGUGUUUUUUGUAAUGCCUACAUUUUUUACCCUUAGGGUUUGCUUGCAGGGAUCAGAGAAAGGAUGUUCUUUUACUAAACAUUUCCCUAAAUUUUCACCUGCUGUCAUUAACCCCAGAGGACUUGAAUAACAUUACCUGAUAAUGUAAUUUCAGUUAAAAGCAAAUAAUUGGCACUUGUUUGAGGUUGAGGACUGUAAGAUGCUUUUCAAAACACUGGGGCUCAUGAGAGAAAGGAUUUUCCUCAUGACAGCUAUAAGUAUUUCUGUUUACAGUAUGAAGAUCAUGUAUGUAGAUAUAUAUAUUUAAAUUAGGAAUAACACUGGAUUCUGGAAAGCUGUUGUUUAAUCACAGGCUACUUUACCACUAAUUUGCCAGUCUUAACAGACUGAACUUUUUGCUUUGACCAGGGCAGGGUUGUUAAAAUGUGCUUUAUGGGAUGGGGGUUAAGAAAGACAGUGACUAUUGUUUGUUGUUUUUUUUUCUCCUGCUUUUAAUGUCUACAAGAAAUUAGAUGAUGGUGGUACAUAAAUUUUACAUUAACUACAUUUGUAUUGUUGUAUUUAAAAAAGCAUUGCUAAAAUGGAAUGUAGCAUGCAUGUGGAACGGCAGCAUUAUUAUA